rnacentral:rRNA from 1 species
GAUGAACGCUGGCGGCGUGCCUAAUACAUGCAAGUCGAGCGAACAGACGAGGAGCUUGCUCCUCUGACGUUAGCGGCGGACGGGUGAGUAACACGUGGAUAACCUACCUAUAAGACUGGGAUAACUUCGGGAAACCGGAGCUAAUACCGGAUAAUAUAUUGAACCGCAUGGUUCAAUAGUGAAAGACGGUUUUGCUGUCACUUAUAGAUGGAUCCGCGCCGCAUUAGCUAGUUGGUAAGGUAACGGCUUACCAAGGCAACGAUGCGUAGCCGACCUGAGAGGCUGAGCGGCCACACUGUAACGGAGACACGGUCCAGACGCCUACGGGAGGCAGCAGUAGGGAAUCUUCCGCUAUGGGCGAAAGCCUGACGGAGCAACGUCGCGUGAGUGAUGAAGGUGUUCGGAUCGUAAAACUCUGUUAUUAGGGAAGAACAAAUGUGUAAGUAACUAUGCACGUCUUGACGGUACCUAAUCAGAAAGCCACGGCUAACUACGUG